rnacentral:rRNA from 1 species
GAUGAACGCUGGCGGCGUGCCUAAUACAUGCAAGUCGAGCGAACAGACGAGGAGCUUGCUCCUCUGACGUUAGCGGCGGACGGGUGAGUAACACGUGGAUAACCUACCUAUAAGACUGGGAUAACUUCGGGAAACCGGGGCUAAUACCGGAUAAUAUAUUGAACCGCAUGGUUCAAUAGUGAAAGACGGUUUUGCUGUCACUUAUAGAUGGAUCCGCGCCGCAUUAGCUAGUUGGUAAGGUAACGGCUUACCAAGGCGACGAUGCGUAGCCGACCUGAGAGGGUGAUCGGCCACACGGGAGCUGGGACGCGGUCCAGACUCCUGCGGGAGGCAGCAGUAGGGAAUGUGCGGCAGUGGGCGAAAGCCUGACGGAGCAACGCCGCGUGAGUGAUGAAGGUCUUCGGAUCGUAAAACUCUGUUAUUAGGGGAGAACAAAUGUGUAAGUAACUAUGCACGUCUUGACGGUACCUAGUCAGAAAGCCACGGCUAACUACGUG